UAGGGAAUCUUCGGCAAUGGGGCAACCUGACCGAGCAACGCCGCGUGAGUGAAGAAGAUUUUCGGAUCGUAAACUCUGUUGUUAGAGAAGAAUGUGUAGGAGAGUAAAAAGUUCUUACAGUGACGGUAUCUAACCAGAAAGGGACGGCUAACUACGUGCCAGCAGCCGCGGUAAUACGUAGGUCCCAAGCGUUGUCCGGAUUUAUUGGGCGUAAAGCGAGCGCAGGUGGUUUAAUAAGUCUGAUGUAAAAGGCAGUGGCUCAACCAUUGUAUGCAUUGGAAACUGUGACUUGAGUACAGUAGAGGAGAGUGGAAUUCCAUGUGUAGCGGUGAAAUGCGUAGAUAUA
rnacentral:rRNA from 1 species